UGAGAUGUAGCGCAAUCAAGGGAAAUAUCAGAGCAUUAGAAAAAAAGAUGAAAAAAGGUAUUGACAAGAAGAGUAGUAGGUGAUAUACUAAGAUAGUUGUCGCUUGAAUGGCGAUAAAGACCUUUGAAAACUGAACAAGACGAACCAAUGUGCAGGCGACUGUUGAGAGACAGUCAGUCAAACAUAAGCAAAUAAAUCUGUCAGUGACAGAAAUGAGUGAAGACUCAAACUAUAAAUGAGAGUUUGAUCCUGGCUCAGGACGAACGCUGGCGGCGUGCCUCGACCUGAGAGGGUGAUCGGCCACACUGGGACUGAGACACGGCCCAGACUCCUACGGGAGGCAGCAGUAGGGAAUCUUCGGCAAUGGGGGGAACCCUGACCGAGCAACGCCGCGUGAGUGAAGAAGGUUUUCGGAUCGUAAAGCUCUGUUGUUAAGGAAGAACGAGUGUGAGAAUGGAAAGUUCAUACUGUGACGGUACUUAACCAGAAAGGGACGGCUAACUACGUGCCAGCAGCCGCGGUAAUACGUAGGUCCCGAGCGUUGUCCGGAUUUAUUGGGCGUAAAGCGAGCGCAGGCGGUUAGAUAAGUCUGAAGUUAAAGGCAGUGGCUCAACCAUUGUAGGCUUUGGAAACUGUUUAACUUGAGUGCAGAAGGGGAGAGUGGAAUUCCAUGUGUAGCGGUGAAAUGCGUAGAUAUAUGGAGGAACACCGGUGGCGAAAGCGGCUCUCUGGUCUGUAACUGACGCUGAGGCUCGAAAGCGUGGGGAGCGAACAGGAUUAGAUACCCUGGUAGUCCACGCCGUAAACGAUGAGUGCUAGGUGUUAGGUCCUUUCCGGGACUUAGUGCCGCAGCUAACGCAUUAAGCACUCCGCCUGGGGAGUACGACCGCAAGGUUGAAACUCAAAGGAAUUGACGGGGGCCCGCACAAGCGGUGGAGCAUGUGGUUUAAUUCGAAGCAACGCGAAGAACCUUACCAGGUCUUGACAUCCCGAUGCCCGCUCUAGAGAUAGAGCUUUACUUCGGUACAUCGGUGACAGGUGGUGCAUGGUUGUCGUCAGCUCGUGUCGUGAGAUGUUGGGUUAAGUCCCGCAACGAGCGCAACCCUUAUUGUUAGUUGCCAUCAUUCAGUUGGGCACUCUAGCGAGACUGCCGGUAAUAAACCGGAGGAAGGUGGGGAUGACGUCAAAUCAUCAUGCCCCUUAUGACCUGGGCUACACACGUGCUACAAUGGCUGGUACAACGAGUCGCAAGCCGGUGACGGCAAGCUAAUCUCUGAAAGCCAGUCUCAGUUCGGAUUGUAGGCUGCAACUCGCCUACAUGAAGUCGGAAUCGCUAGUAAUCGCGGAUCAGCACGCCGCGGUGAAUACGUUCCCGGGCCUUGUACACACCGCCCGUCACACCACGAGAGUUUGUAACACCCGAAGUCGGUGAGGUAACCGUAAGGAGCCAGCCGCCUAAGGUGGGAUAGAUGAUUGGGGUGAAGUCGUAACAAGGUAGCCGUAUCGGAAGGUGCGGCUG
rnacentral:rRNA from 1 species